ensembl:lncRNA
GAGGAAGGGAUGUAGCUCUCCCCACUUAGAACCAAGCGUCUCCUGCACCAAUAAUGUGAGAACUCGGAAGAAAGCCUCAAUUUCUGCUCCUGUAAGAUGGUUUUCCAGUCUUCAGCACUUGGCUGUUUCCUGCAAUCUGUCAAUGUGCUUCUUACAAUCUGACACCCAGAAGACAGCACCAGUGGGGCCUUCCUGUCUAGGAUGCCAGUGGCUCUGCUUCAGGAACUGCUUGUGCUGUACUCUACCUGUAGCAAGUCUUCAUCCCCCUGAAAACAAUUAGAAGCUAUCGAGGAUGGUGAACACAGCAG